rnacentral:lncRNA from 1 species
GUUGCGUUCCCCAAACAAAUGUGUACAAAAGACUUGACAUCUUGCUGUAGGCUAUUGUCUCAUGUGAUAUUCAUUUGGAUGGACACAGAACACAUCCUGAUUAGGAUCUGAUCAAAUAAUGACGCAGGUGUCAUCUACAUCCCUCCUACGCCUCUUCCAGUUCAGACCUGAUAUAUGGUGUGCCUCCCCCUACUUCUCAGACAAGAAGCAUACCGCAGAAGAACCCACACAACCGUUCCAAUACGCACAGAGGGAGAACGGGAGCUGGGGGAGCUGGCUUGGCAGUGCUGUCUUGGCAGUGCUGUCUUUAGAGUUUUUGCUUCAAGUUAUCAGCUCUUUUUUUAAUGUAAUUUCUACAGGGAGAUAAUCUAAUCCUUCCAUGAUGAAACUUGUGCUUGUUUUUGCUUUGGUUGCGUCUUUCUUCGCAGAAAAUCUAUUACUUCCUGUUGGAAAAGAACGACAGAGAGAAGAUGUGGUAACACGGUGCUUGGUUGAGGUCAUGUCCAAGGCACUGACCAAACCUGACUCUCACCCUCUGGAUCAGGAAUGCAAAGACAUUCUCAAAGCAGGUGCCCAACAUGCUGCUCUUCUGGAGAAGAAAAGUGAUGAGGAGGUGCUGACCCAUAAAGAGGAGGUCAAAGGUCAUGAACCUGAGCUUGAGGUUCCAGGGGCUGAUGUGAAGGACAUCGAGGCCCGCCUGAAGUCUGUGGAGGAGAAGAGAGAGACACCGGAGGACGAAGAGCGCAGCCAGGAGUCAUGGGACCUCAACGAUGAGAAAGAGAAGAGGAUUUGGAAACCAACGCACAGGUAUCAUCAUAAAGAGGUGUCUGAGGAAAAGAGAGAAGAGCCAGACGAAGAACGUAGUCAGGAAUCCUGGAGCCUGGGUGAUGAGAAGGAGAAGAGAUAUAGGCCUACCUAUCGAUACACCCCAAAGACACACCACAAACGAGACGAAGACGGUUUAGAGGAGGAGAGAGAAGAGCCAGAAGAGGAACGCAGCCAAGAGUCCUGGAGCCUGGGCGAAGAGAAGGAGAAGAGAUAUAGGCCUACCUAUCGGUACACCCCAAAGAAAUUACACAAACGAGAUGACAAAAGUGAAAAGUGCAGUCAGGAGUCCUGGGAUCUGAAAGAUGAGAAGGAAAAGAGAGAGGAGGAAGAGGAAAGAGAGAAAAGAAUGUGGAAACCCCCACACAGAUAUCACCACAAGAAACACCACAAACGAGGUGCUGACUCAUCAGAGGAGGAAUCAGAGGAAAAGAGAUCAGAUGAGUCCGAAGAAGAGGAGGAUAGAGAGAAGAGAAUCUGGAAACCAACAAACAGGUACCAUCACAACAAGCGUCACCAACGCAGUGGGGAUUCCUCAGGGGAGGAAGAAGAGGAACGAAGGAGUGAUUCUGACGAACAGGAGGAGAAGAGGUACGGAGAUGCCGAGGAGGAGAGAGAGAGGCAAGAGGGCUCUGAUGUAUUUAUCUGUCUAUUCAUAUUUUUCUCUUACAGAAACUGUUUUUCAGGAGUGUAUGAGGGGUAGUCAACUAGCCUUGGGGGGGGGGGGGGGGGGCACAGGUUACAUAAAUUAUAAAUAAUUAAAUCAGGGUUCCCCAAACGGCGGCUUGUGAGCCAUUUAGCCCACCAUGUUUUCCGAGCAAAAAAAAAAGAAAAGAAAGAAAAAUUAUAAUAACAAUUCAUUGUUGGACAUAAAAGACUGUAAAAACACCAGGAAAUCAGCUCCAUGUGAUUUUAAUUUAGGAAAUCUGUUACCAAGUAUUCCCACUUAUAAUCGAGAGACACGCGAUUGUAUACAAAUGUAAGCAAGGUUUGAAAUGAUUAAGUUUUAGCCAAACAUUAUAUCUGGGGUUUCUUGUGAUCAAUUUAUUUGCAGUGUACAAAUGAUUUGUAAUUAUGUUCCAGCCACCCAACCAUCCGCUGAAUACAGUUGAUAGUCCCUGCUGUAAGUUGACCACAACUAACCCCAAAAAAUGGAUUGUAUUUGAAAAUAACAAUAAUAUCAUACCUUGAUGACAUUGAGACACGAUCGCAUGUGCUUUUUUUUAAUUGGAGGGAAAAGUUGGGAACAAUUUUUUUUUUUGCUGAAUUCCUGAUGAUUUUACAGUAUUUUUUAAAACAAAAACUAAAUGUUGCCGGUCUGCGGGCGGCCUGGUAGAAAUCUUCACCCAUAAAAAUGUUACAAAAAGACAGCAUGUGCAACUACAAAAUGUAUUAUGCGAGAAAUGUAGAUGGGAACGCAUUCAUUCAUGCUCAAAUGUUGAUACAAUCAUCAUUUCAAAGUCAAAUUGACGCCACUUGUCCGGAAAGCAUGCAGAAGAAAUAACUUUACAGGGUGGUGAAACCCAGUUUAGGAAACCAUGGGCUAGAGCGCAUUUGCAACUAACAGAGUUGGCACACUUGCUAUAUAAUGCAAACAUUUUUUUUGUGAGAAAACCAUCAAUGGAGUUGAAAAUGCAAUCAAUGGUAAUUUACCUGCAAAAAUAUUUUUGAUGUGAACUAUAUCAUCACCCACAGCCUUGUAUCUGCAGCAAGUCAAUUUGAUGGACAUCUCUGGUGGGAAAGUGAGCAUAUUGUUUUUAUGCAGAUUUUAGAAUACUCACAUGAAAACCUGUCUUCAAUUGGAUGGAAAUGUAGCUUAUGUCUCAAAUGCCACUAUGUCUAUGUGGCUCUAGUCAUAUUAGACACAGCCAAAGACAUGCUUUUUAGUCCAGAACUAGGCUUAAUCUGUGUCUGGGAAAGGACCCUGAGUGUAUGU